CCAUGGAGCCGGAUGAGAAACUUAUGCGAAAUGCAGCAGAUUUGAUGGUAGCAAGGUUGGUAGGAAGUCUUGCUAAUGUAACUUAUUAGGAACCUUUACGUGGUCCAGUAUCAAACCAACUCAGAAGGUCACUUCAGGUCUUGGCCAUAGCAAAUGAUCUUCUAGAGCAGUCAUUUUAGCUGGUGACUAAUGGAAUCACAGGCGGCGAUGACACCA